GUGGACAUUGCCUCCAUGUUUCAGCAGCAGAGCUACGAUAUCUUUUCGGCCUUGCUUGGCUGCUUCAUGCAUUGCUGACCAUCGCUUGACACAGGGCUGGUCUAGGCUAGUGUUAUGUUUGAUCAGAGUCGACACCAUGUCAUAGGAGCCCUUUUUCACAGCUUGAAAAUGAUUGUUAAAAACAACAUUAAGGGAUUCUGAAUAGCAAAUCUCAAAGAAGACCAUAGAUUCAAGAACAAACUGAGGAAGUGCCAUGAAUAAUCCAUUUUCCUAUAAAACCUAAGAAGACUUGGCAUGGGUUCCACAACAAAGGUGCUGAUUAAGCUACAGAAGCCCCAAGUAUUUAGCUGGCCACAGACCAUCCAGGUAGACAAUAAAUGUCCUGGCCUCCGUUGCCCCAAGGUGUGGUGGCAUUGUGACAAAAUCUGAACUAAUGGGACAUGAGUGGAAGGGCCGUGUGCACUGUCCCGGUCAUCUUUUUAAAUUGAAGAUGCUUGCCUAGGGCUUCCUCUUUAGUCCUUCCUGCUGCCUGGAAAAUGGCGACGUUGGGAGCAACUUUGGAAGCACACUGUAAUGUUGAUACAGCCACCCUCACAACCCUGGGCCAUUCUGCAAUGUGUGAGAGAGAAAUGACUUCUUUCUCUUUAA
rnacentral:lncRNA from 10 species